rnacentral:tRNA from 1 species
CUUUUAUAGGUUAAGGUGUUAGAUCGUUAGUUUGUGGUAUUAGAGGUUUCCUGUGUGAGUAAAAGAAU